AUAAGCAGCACCAGGAUAGUGUCUUAAAGGAUCAGUAUAUCCGGAGGAAUAUAACGGUAUUUGUCCCAAGAACGACUCCUGUCCACCGGCCAGAGUCACAGGGAAAGUUGAAUUUACAAAAUACGAACUCAUUGGGAGGACUCAGUUCAGGUUUUAUGCAUGGGAAUGAUGGCACAAAGAUGACGAAUCCUGGCCACUUCUUUACAAACAGAACUUGGCUUCAAUCAAGGGCUUCAAAAAUAGUUGAGAAAUGACCCACGGGACACUAAAUCACGGCGCCACGUAGAAGAACUGUGCUCGGCCGGAAACCUAAGCAAAAGGCGCAUCGAUAUGGAGGAAGAGCUGUAGUGCGUUGACCCAGUCUGAGACCAGAGAGGAAACGCGUGUCAGACACUUUUUGUCAAGUGUACUGUAACUCUCCUUAGCCUCUCGAGUUUGCUGCCUGAUACUGAACAUAUGUGAGUAUUAUAAUAUUCCUAAUUGUGUUACUACUGUUAGAAUGUAAAGAUGAUUACUUCUUUAAUGCAUCAUGCUCUUGUAUUUAUGUGUACAAAUUGUGUACAAAUAUUUUUUACCAGCAAUACAUCUACAAGUUUUCCUGCGUACAGGACUAGUAUAAUAUUUUAGCCUAAGAAGUUCUAAUUUACAGAAUAUUUCCAUGAUAAUUGAAGUGUACGUUUGUCUUACUGUUUAUUGUAUGUACCCUACAUAUGGAAUGUAUAUUUGGAUUUUGUAAAUAAAUAAAUGUUGAUUCUGACGUGAA